UGGCGGGUAGCUCAGGGGUACAGUGCUUGCCUUGCAUACACGAGGUUCUAGGAUCAAUUCCUAGCACCCCAC
rnacentral:tRNA from 1 species